rnacentral:snRNA from 1 species
AUCGUUCGUCUGACUUGGGU